rnacentral:rRNA from 1 species
AAACCAGGUGAUAGAUACCCUAUUAUAAAAAUUUAAAUUGAUUUACUUAAAAAUUAAUAGUUAAGUUCUUUAAAUUUAAAAAAUUUGGCGGUAUUUUAGUCUUAUUAGAGGAACCUGUUUAUUAAUUGAUAAUCCACGAUUAAUUUUACUUAUUUUAAUUAAUUCAUAUAUCGCUGUCAUGAAUAUAUUUAAAAAUUUAUUUUCUUUUUUUAUUUUUAUAAUUUAUGUUAAGUCAAGAUGUGGUUUAUAAAUAAGAAUAUAAUGGGUUACAAUAAAUUUUAUUUUUGGAUUUAAAAUGAAAAUUAGAAUGAAAUUGGAUUUAAUAGUAAGUUUAUUUAUUUAAU